rnacentral:rRNA from 1 species
CGUAGGCAGCAAGCGUUGUUCGGAGUUACUGGGCGUAAAGAGUACGUAGGCGGUUUGCUAAGUCUGGUGUGAAAUCUCCUGGCUUAACUGGGAGGGUGCGCUAGAUACUGGCAGGCUUGAGUAUGGGAGAGGAGAGUGGAAUUCCUGGUGUAGCGGUGAAAUGCGUAGAUAUCAGGAGGAACGCCGGUGGUGUAGACGGCUCUCUGGACCAUUACUGACGCUGAGGUACGAAAGCGUGGGUAGCAAACAGGAUUAGAUACCCUGGUAGUCCACGCCCUAAACGAUGCGGACUUGGUGUAGGCAGUUCAGUCUGUCUGUGCCGGAGCUAACGCGUUAAGUCCGCCGCCUGGGGAGUACGGUCGCAAGGCUG